rnacentral:rRNA from 1 species
UACGGAGGGAGCUAGCGUUGUUCGGAAUUGCUGGGCGUAAAGCGCACGUAGGCGGCUUUUUAAGUCAGGGGUGAAAUCCCGGAGCUCAACUCCGGAACUGCCCUUGAAACUGGGAAGCUAGAAUCUUGGAGAGGCGAGUGGAAUUCCGAGUGUAGAGGUGAAAUUCGUAGAUAUUCGGAAGAACACCAGUGGCGAAGGCGACUCGCUGGACAAGUAUUGACGCUGAGGUGCGAAAGCGUGGGGAGCAAACAGG